rnacentral:tRNA from 3 species
AAGAGUUUAGUUUAAUUAAAACAUUAAUUUGUCAAGUUAAAAUUACAUCUAAGUAACUCUUU